UGUCACUCCUUCCUAAACCCAAACCCUUUCCUCUGAAUAUGCCCCAGAAGCUGCAGCCUCUCGCUAGUAAUGCACUGCCUCUGCCUUCUUAGCUCCUCCAGCUCUGCCUGCUGAAACCCUAUUGCCUUUAAUGUUGUCUCUCCUUGCCUGCUACCUGCUGCUGUCAUACUACUGCCUGCCAGGUUCAGCCAUAAAUGCCAAAACCACGGACUUGAGCUCAUGGGAACUACAGAAGAAUUGGCUCAGUUUCCACUUCCUACAAGUGUGCCCAGAUGGGAUGCUGGGAGAAGAAAAGGACAUAUCAGAGGAAAAACUGGAUCUGUGCUAGCUCCCUUCAAGAGCUUUGUUUGUUGGUUUGGAGCAGCUUUUUGGAGUUGUGAAAGCUGUUCCACUUGAAGAGCAAAUGUCUGGAAUGUCUCAGGACUACAUUUUGCUGCAGCAACCCCUGUCACACUGCAAGUGUGUUGUGUGGAGCCCAUGCCACUGCUCUGCCAUGCUGUCUCUGGACACAGAGAAUGAUUGUUUGCACAUUUCAUUGAGAUCGCAUGGAGAUAGGACAACUCAAGCUGCCACUGGGACCUGAAGUUUUCACAGAGAAGGUCCUACCACAGGCAGCUGCUCUCCAGACACACUUCUGAUGCCAGCUAUGACUCUGUGGGUUUAAGGACGAGCAGCUUCUUCCUAUACAAAGCCUUGUAAAUGAGAACAAACCGUCAAAGCUGUGUGUGGAGCACCAGUACUAUGCGUAGA